rnacentral:piRNA from 1 species
CUUGAAAACCAAUUGAACGAA